UUAAGAAAGCAAGAGCGCACGGUGGAUGCCUAGGCACUAAUAGGCGAAGAAGGACGCGACUAACAGCGAAAUGCUACGGGGAGCAGUAAGUAGGCAAAGAUCCGUAGGUAUCCGAAUGGGGAAACCCACUAGUUAGAAGAGCUAGUAUCGAAUAAUGAAUACAUAGUUAUUCGAGGCGAACCCGGGGAACUGAAACAUCUAAGUACCCGGAGGAAAAGAGAACAAAAGUAAUUCCCUAAGUAGAGGCGAUUGAAAGGGGAGGAGCCCAGCACCAUGAAGAGUUAGAAAAUCUUUUUAUAGUAGAAUUGUAUUGGAAAAGCAAGACAAAGAAGGUGAAAUCCCUGUAUACGAAAUAAAGAGAUCUCGGUGUCGGAGUAGGGCGGAGCACGAGGAAUUCUGUCUGAAUAAGUGAGGACCAUCUCAUAAGGCUAAAUACUCAUUAGUGACCGAUAGUGAACCAGUACUGUGAAGGAAAGGUGAAAAGAACCCCUGGCGGGGAGUGAAAAGAACCUGAAACCGUGUGCUUACAAACAGUUAGAGCCCGUCAAAGGGUGAUAGCGUGCCUUUUGUAGAAUGAGCCGGCGAGUUACGUUAAUGUGCGAGGUUAAGUUUUAAGGGACGGAGCCGAAGCGAAAGCGAGUCUGAAGAGGGCGAAAUAGUAGAUUGACGUAUACCCGAAACCGGGUGAUCUAGCCAUGAGCAGGUUGAAGCUUGGGUAAAACCAGGUGGAGGACCGAACCAGGGUCUGUUGAAAAAGACUUGGAUGACUUGUGGCUAGGGGUGAAAUUCCAAUCGAACCCGGAGAUAGCUGGUUCUCCCCGAAAUAGCUUUAGGGCUAGCGUUAUGGAGAAGAGUUAUACGAAGGUAGAGCACUGAAUGGGUGAGGGCCUCAUCUCGAGGUACUGAUCUCAAUCAAACUCCGAAUGUCGUAUAAUAUACAUAGCAGUAAGACUAUGGGUGAUAAGGUUCAUAGUCAAAAGGGAAACAGCCCAGACCGCCAGUUAAGGUCCCAAAAUUAUGCUAAGUGGGAAAGGAGGUGGAGUCGCAUAGACAACUAGGAGGUUGGCUUAGAAGCAGCCAUCCUUUAAAGAGUGCGUAAUAGCUCACUAGUCGAGUGAUUCUGCGCCGAAAAUGUAUCGGGGCUAAGCAUAAUACCGAAGCUGCGGGAUUAGACAAAGAGUCUAAUCGGUAGGGGAGCGUACUAAACGCGAAGAAGGUUGACCGGAAGGGCAGCUGGAGAGUUUAGCAGUGAGAAUGCCGGUGUGAGUAGCGAUAAGAUGGGUGAGAAUCCCAUCCGUCGGAAGCCUAAGGGUUCCAGGGGUAAGGCUCGUCCGCCCUGGGUAAGUCGGGACCUAAGGUGAGGCCGAAAGGCGUAGCCGAUGGAUAUCAGGUUGAUAAUCCUGGACCACCGUAGAGCUGAAGGAGUGACGGAGGAGGGAAGUUAGGAUGGACUGGUGGAAUAGUCUAAUGAAGCACAAAGAGGGAUACGUAGGAAAAGCCGCGUAUUGAAACCUUGAAGUGUAAACCGCAAGGCCUAAUGGACCACACUUCCAAGAAAAGCUUCUAGGAGUACUUUAUGGUGCCCGUACCGUAAACGGACACACGUAGGCGAGGAGAGAAUCCAAAGACGCGCGAGAUAAUUCUUGUUAAGGAACUCUGCAAAAUGACCCUGUAACUUCGGGAUAAAGGGGACUCUAGAGAUAGAGGCGCAGAAAAUAGGCCCAAGCGACUGUUUAACAAAAACAUAGGUUUCUGCUAAAGCGAAAGCUGAUGUAUAGGAGCUGACGCCUGCCCAGUGCUGGAAGGUUAAGAGGAGAUGUAAGUCGCAAGGCAAAGCAUUGAAUUGAAGCCCCAGUAAACGGCGGCCGUAACUAUAACGGUCCUAAGGUAGCGAAAUUCCUUGUCAGGUAAGUUCUGACCCGCACGAAAGGCGUAACGAUUUGGGCGCUGUCUCAACAAGAAACUCGGUGAAAUCAUAGUACCUGUGAAGAUGCAGGUUACCCGCGAUCAGACGGAAAGACCCCAUGGAGCUUCACUGCAGCUUAAUAUUGAUAUUGGGUGUGUGAUGUACAGGAUAGGUGGGAGACGAAGAAGCGAGUACGCUAGUAUUCGUGGAGUCAACGUUGGGAUACCACCCUUCAUACAUUUAGUAUCUAACUAGUAUCCAUAAUCUGGGUAUAGAACAGUGUUAGGUGGGCAGUUUGACUGGGGCG
rnacentral:rRNA from 1 species